AUUGAACGCUGGCGGCAGGCCUAACACAUGCAAGUCGAGCGGAUGACGGGAGCUUGCUCCUUGAUUCAGCGGCGGACGGGUGAGUAAUGCCUAGGAAUCUGCCUGGUAGUGGGGGACAACGUUUCGAAAGGAACGCUAAUACCGCAUACGUCCUACGGGAGAAAGCAGGGGACCUUCGGGCCUUGCGCUAUCAGAUGAGCCUAGGUCGGAUUAGCUUGUUGGUGAGGUAAUGGCUCACCAAGGCGACGAUCCGUAACUGGUCUGAGAGGAUGAUCAGUCACACUGGAACUGAGACACGGUCCAGACUCCUACGGGAGGCAGCAGUGGGGAAUAUUGGACAAUGGGCGAAAGCCUGAUCCAGCCAUGCCGCGUGUGUGAAGAAGGUCUUCGGAUUGUAAAGCACUUUAAGUUGGGAGGAAGGGUUGUAGAUUAAUACUCUGCAAUUUUGACGUUACCGACAGAAUAAGCACCGGCUAACUCUGUGCCAGCCGCCGCGGUAACAC
rnacentral:rRNA from 1 species